rnacentral:tRNA from 1 species
GCGCGCCGGCGCGUUGACGCGUCGAGCGGCUGCGAUUCGCUUCGAGCAGGAUCUUGCGCAGGCGUUCGUUCACGCCGAUCGGCGCAUCC